rnacentral:rRNA from 1 species
AGCAGCCGCGGUAAUACGGAGGAUCCAAGCGUUAUCCGGAUUUAUUGGGUUUCAAGGGUGCGUAGGCGUCCUGUUAAGUCAGGGGUGAAUGACGGUAGCUCAACUAUCGCAGUGCCCUUGAUACUGAUGGGCUUGAAUGGACUAGAGGUAGGCGGAAUGAGACAAGUAGCGGUGAAUUGCAUAGAUAUGUCUCAGAACACCGAUUGCGAAGGCAGCUUACUAUGGUUUUAUUGACGCUGAGGCACGAAAGCGUGGGGAUCAAACAGGAUUAGAUACCCUGGUAGUCCACGCCCUAAACGAUGAACACUCGCUGUUGGCGAUACACAGUCAGCGGAUAAGCGAAAGCGUUAAGUGUUCCACCUGGGGAGUACGCCCGCAAGGGUGAAACUCAAAGGAAUUGACGGGGGCCCGCACAAGCGGAGGAGCAUGUGGUUUAAUUCGAUGAUACGCGAGGAACCUUACCCGGGCUUGAAAGUUAGUGAAUGAUCUAGAGAUAGAUCAGUCCGCAAGGACACGAAACUAGGUGCUGCAUGGCUGUCGUCAGCUCGUGCCGUGAGGUGUUGGGUUAAGUCCCGCAACGAGCGCAACCCCUAUGUUUAGUUGCCAGCAUGUAAUGGUGGGGACUCUAAACAGACUGCCUGUGCAAACAGAGAGGAAGGAGGGGACGACGUCAAGUCAUCAUGGCCCUUACGUCCGGGGCUACACACGUGCUACAAUGGACGGUACAGAGGGCAGCUACAUAGCAAUAUGAUGCGAAUCUCACAAAGCCGUUCACAGUUCGGAUUGGGGUCUGCAACUCGACCCCAUGAAGUUGGAUUCGCUAGUAAUCGCGUAUCAGCAAUGACGCGGUGAAUACGUUCCCGGGCCUUGUACACACCGCCCGUCAAGCCAUGGAAGCUGGGGGUACCUAAAGUAUUAACCGCAAG